UACGUAGGGGGCAAGCGUUGUCCGGAUUUAUUGGGCGUAAAGAGCGUGUAGGCGGCUUGGAAGGUCCGUUGUGAAAACUCGAGCUCAACCUCGAGACGCCGAUGGAAACCACCUAGCUAGAGUCCGGAAGAGGAGAGUGGAAUUCCUGGUGUAGCGGUGAAAUGCGCAGAUAUCAGGAAGAACACCCCGUGGCUAAGGCGGCUCUCUAGUACGGUACUGACGCUGAGACGCGAAAAAGCGUGGGGGGAGCGAAACAGGG
rnacentral:rRNA from 1 species